UGUUCAAAAAACAAGUGUACAUGCCUCAC
rnacentral:piRNA from 1 species